CCUACGUGAGGCAGCAGUAGGGAAUAUUGCUCAAUGGGGGAAACCCUGAAGCAGCAACGCCGCGUGGAGGAUGACGGUUUUAGGAUUGUAAAAUCCUUUUGUUAGAGAAGAUAAUGACGGUAUCUAAAGAAUAAGCACAGGCUAACUCAGUGCCAGCAGCCGAGGUAAUACGGAGGGUGCAAGCGUUACUCGGAAUCACUGGGCGUAAAGCGCGAGUAGGGGGGAUAUCAAGUCAGAUGUGAAAUCAUAUGGCUUAACCAUAGAACUGCAUUUGAAACUGUUAUUCUAGAGUAUGGGAGAGGUAUGUGGAAUUCGUGGUGUAGGGGUAAAAUCCGUAGAGAUCAAGAGGAAGACUGAUUGCGAAGGCGACCUGCUAGAACAUAACUGACGCUGAUGCGCGAAAGCGUGGGGAGCAAACAGGAUUAGAUACCCUAGUAGUC
rnacentral:rRNA from 1 species